CGAAGGGUGCAAGCGUUGUUCGGAAUCACUGGGCGUAAAGCGCGCGUAGGCGGCUUGCCAAGUCAGAGGUGAAAUGCCGGGGCUUAACCCCGGAACUGCCUUUGAAACUGGCGAGCUAGAGUGUUGGAGGGGAUGGCGGAAUUCCUAAUGUAGAGGUGAAAUUCGUAGAUAUUAGGAGGAACACCGGUGGCGAAGGCGGCCAUCUGGACAACAACUGACGCUGAGGCGCGAAAGCGUGGGGAUCAAACAGGAUUAGAUACCCUGGUAGUCCACGCCGUAAACGAUGGAUGCUAGCCGUUGGGGGGUUACCCUCCAGUGGCGUAGCUAACGCGUUAAGCAUCCCGCCUGGGGAGUACGGUCGCAAGAUUA
rnacentral:rRNA from 1 species